GACAGAGGGGGCAAGCGUUGCUCGGAAUUACUGGGCGUAAAGGGCGCGUAGGCGGGAUGGCAAGUCGGUCGUGAAAUCCCUCGGCUCAACCGAGGAACGUCGAUCGAUACUGCUGUUCUUGAGGAUUGCAGAGGAGACUGGAAUUCCCGGUGUAGCGGUGAAAUGUGUAGAGAUCGGGAGGAACACCGGUGGCGAAGGCGGGUCUCUGGGCAAUUCCUGACGCUGAGGCGCGAAAGCGUGGGGAGCGAACCGG
rnacentral:rRNA from 1 species